UGAAGCUGUGCUCAGCAAUUAACAGCACUUGGUCUUGCUAAGUCUGUUUUUAUAAAUCGGGCUCAGCAGUUAAGCACAUUGUCUGCUGAACCUGGGUUCAAUUCUCAGCAUCCACAUGGCAGCUCACAACUCUAGUUCCAGAGGAUCCAACACACGUGCAGCAUUAAAUAAACAAAACAAACCAAUGCACAUAAAAUAUAAGUAAAUUGUUGAUAAAUUUAAAAGGCAGUGUUGGAACUAGAGAGAUGGCUUAGUGGUUUAAGAAUGCUAGUUGCUGGUCUAGAGAGAUAGCUCAGUGGGUAAGAGCACUGACUGUUCUUCUGAAGGUCCUGAGUUCAAAUCCCAGCAAUCACAUGGUGGCUCACAACCAUCUGUGAUGAGAUCUGACGCCCUCUUCUGGUGUGUCUGAAGACAGCUACAGUUUACUUACAAAUAAUAGUAAAUAAAUCUUUAAAAGAAAAAAAAAAAGAAUGCUAGCUGCUCUUUCAGAGGUCUUUAGUUACAUUCCCAGCAAUCACAUGGUGGCUCACAACCAUCCUGUAUUGGGAUCUGAUGCCCCCUUCUAGCAUGCACCAUGUAUGCACAGAGAACACUCAUACAUAAAUACCUUUUAUAAAAGGUAGGUGAAUCAUAGCAAUUAAGGGCCAUGGCUAUUGUUCGAGAGGACCCAGGUUCCUUCCUUUCUGAGCACCAACAUGAUGGCUCACAUACAUCUGUACUUUAAUACUUGAACGAUGUAUAUACAAAACAUUGAUUCUUAGCCGGGUGGUAGUAUACACCUGUCCUAGCACUUUGGGGGUGGAGGCAGGCAGAUCUCAGUUUGAGGCUAACCUGAUCUAUGCAGGGAGUUCCCGUUUCAAAUACACUCUCUCCCCCAAAUUAUACACAAGAGGUUUUUAUCUAAGUUGCAGUCAAGGAAGAACGCCGAAGGCCUUCUUAUAAGCAGCACUCUCCAGUUGUCUGUUUUAGCCAUAAGGAGGGGCUGUGCAAUGCCUUCUUGUAAAUGCAGGCAAAACUGAUCUCUUACUCGGGAACUUUGUGAAAUUUUCAAGUUGAAUUUGAAAUUCAAUUUAGAAGUGUUCUCUUCUGCUGUCAUCCUAAGAUUUAGAAAACUUCUUUUACAUUUUUGUGUGUAUUUCCAGAAUUGAGAGCUUUUGCAGAGCAGUGUUGGCUCACAUCUUUAAUCCCAGCAUUCUGAGGUAAAGGCAGGGGUGAACCUCUGCCUGCCAAACCUGCUCUACUGAGCAAGUUCCAGGACAGCCAGAGCUACACAGAGAAACCCUGUCUCAAAAAAGCAAACCAACAAACAAAAAUACUUGUCCUGGAGUGGUAGUUACAUGCCUUUAAUAUCAGGCAGAGGAGCUCUGUGAGUUCAAAGCUAGCCUGGUCUCAUUUGUGUUCUCAGAAUGACUCUGGGGAUGCAACUCGGGUUCUCAGAUCCAACACCUCUUAUCUUAUCACUCAACCAUCUUAUCAGCCCACCAUUUUUGAGAUAAGGUCUAUUUGUAUAGCUUAGCUUGCCUUCUUCUUACAACACAGUCCAGUCUAAGUUUUCCAUCCAUCCUUCUGCUUCACAAGGUGGUUCCACUGAUAAACGCUACAGUUGUGGUAAGACAAUACCUUAAAAAGAGACCAGCUGUUUCUUUUUUCAAUU
rnacentral:lncRNA from 1 species